rnacentral:rRNA from 1 species
AAUAGAUACCCAGGUAGUCCACGCCGUAAACGAUGAGUGCUAAGUGUUAGGGGGUUUCCGCCCCUUAGUGCUGCAGCUAACGCAUUAAGCACUCCGCCUGGGGAGUACGGUCGCAAGACUGAAACUCAAAGGAAUUGACGGGGGGCCCGCACAAGCGGUGGAGCAUGUGGUUUAAUUCGAAGCAACGCGAAGAACCUUACCAGGUCUUGACAUCCCAUUGACCACUAUGGAGACAUAGUUUUCCCUUCGGGGACAACGGUGACAGGUGGUGCAUGGUUGUCGUCAGCUCGUGUCGUGAGAUGUUGGGUUAAGUCCCGCAACGAGCGCAACCCUUGUUUUAGUUGCCAUCAUUUAGUUGGGCACUCUAAGGAGACUGCCGGUGACAAACCGGAGGAAGGUGGGGAUGACGUCAAAUCAUCAUGCCCCUUAUGACCUGGGCUACACACGUGCUGCAAUGGUCGGUACAAACGGUUGCCAACCCGCGAGGGGAGCUAAUCCGAUAAAACCGUUCUCAGUUCGGAUUGUAGGCUGCAACUCGCCUACAUGAAC